rnacentral:lncRNA from 1 species
ACUUUUUACUCCCAUUAUCCCCAAACUUACCCAAACUAUCCAUUGGCCCUAGCUCUCCCUAAAUCCCAUUUUUCAUUUUGAUUCUCCCAUUUUUCCUUCCUCCCUUCUUUUGCUGUCCACCACCCUUUCUCCAUCGGUUUUUAGCUUUUUUCUUCAUUUUCUCACCACCUUUGAAGCCAUUUCUCCUCUAAUCGCUUCCCCUCCUCCACCACACACAGCAGCCG